rnacentral:rRNA from 1 species
UAGCAGAGGUGGCGAGCGUUAUUCGGAAUUAUUGGGCGUAAAGGGCGCGUAGGUGGCCGAGCAAGGUUGCGGUGAAAGCCCGGGGCUCAACCCCGGGUCGGCCGUGGCAACUACUCGGCUUGAGCACUGUAGGGGCGGGUGGAAUUCCGGAUGGUAGCGGUGGAAUGCGUAGAGAUCCGGAAGAACACCGGUGGCGAAGGCAGCCCCCUGGGCUAACACUGACGCUCAGGCACGAAAGCGUGGGGAGCAAACGAGGAUUAGAAACCAG